CCUACGGGAGGCAGCAGUGGGGAAUAUUGCACAAUGGGGGAAACCCUGAUGCAGCGACGCCGCGUGAGUGAAGAAGUAAUUCGUUACGUAAAGCUCUAUCAGCAGGGAAGAAACACUGACCUUACGGUCAGCAGACGGUACCUGAGCAAGAAGCCCCGGCUAACUACGGGACAGCAGCCGCGGUAAUACGUGGGGGGCAAGCGUUAUCCGGGUUUACUGGGUGGAAAGGGAGCGUAGACGGUGCGCCAAGGCUGGAGGUGAAUGCCGCGGGUUAACUGCGGAACUGGUUUGGAAACUGGAGAACUUGAGUGCGGGAGAGGUAGGCGGAAUUCCUAGUGUAGCGGUGAAAUGCGUAGAUAUUAGGAGGAACACCGGUGGCGAAGGCGGCUUACUGGACCGUAACUGACGUUGAGGCUCGAAAGCGUGGGGAGCAAACAGGAUUAGAUACCCCAGUAGUC
rnacentral:rRNA from 1 species